AUUGUCGCAUCUAUAGAUCCAACGUAACUCAAGCGUAUCGGUGUUUAAGUUUUUCUGAAAUGUGAUUAUUUUUUUGUUGUUUGUUUUGGCGUAACUCGUGCAAUUUGAAAGUUAAAUUUAAUUACUUUUUCUAUUUAUUUUAAUGUAAUUUGGUGUUGGUGAAAUUAGUUUUUUAAGUUCAAUUAUUUGUUUUGAUGUAAGUAAAUGGAUCACGUUAUCUUCUGAAUAUAGUGAUAAACUUGCACCUAUAAAAUUUAACCUAUUAAAUAAUUAAAAUUUUUAUUAUUAUUUAAAGGUAAUCUUAAUUUAUUAUAAAAAAGAUAAUUUUAACCCAUUAUAAAGAGAGUGGAGUUUAGGUUUUACUAUUUAAUAAACUUUUUAGAAAAGGUUGAGUGCGGCGGAAGUUGAGUUAGAUACUUUAGAGGGAAAAGUCAAGAGUAGGUGAAGUGUAGAUCUAACAUAACUUGAGUUACACUAUAUUUUUGACUUAUACUAAAACAAAUAUCGAAAGUAUUAGAACUUAAAUUCCACCCCUUUACUUACACCAAAACAAAUGGCCCCUUAUUAACACG
rnacentral:lncRNA from 1 species